GGAUUGAACACAGUGCCUCAUGCAUGCUAGGCAAACACCCUACCACUGAGCACAACCCCAGCCCCAACCACUAAUGUACUUUCUAUAUAGAUUUCCCUGUUCUGAAUAUUUCAUAUUAAUGAAAUCUUUAAAAGUAUAUUUUCAAAGUUCAUCCAAUUUGUAGCAUAUACCAAUAUAGUCAGGAGCCACAUAACAUUUUGAUGAACAAUAGAUGGUUAUACCACAGUGGUCCUAUGUGAUUAUAAUGGAGUUGAAAAAUUCUUAGUUUAGUAUUUUUUGCUGUACCUUUUCUAUGUUUAGAUGUUUUAGUACACGAAUAUUAACCAUUGUGUUCCAGUUGCUUAUAGUGUUCAGUAACAUGCUAUACAGGUUUGUACAUUUGUACCCCAGGAGCAAUAGGCUGACCAUGCUAUACCCUAUAACGCAUGUAGGCUAUACCAUGUAGUUUGCAUUAGCAUGCACUAUAAUGUGUGCACACAAUAAGAAAAUUACCUAGCAAAUAAUAACCAAGUAAUAUCAGAAUGUCUGUCUUCAUGUCUCUACCAAAUGGUAUUGAUUACUCUAGCUUCAUAGUAAAUUUUGAGUCAGGUAGUAUCAGACCUCCAGCUUUAUUUUUUCUAACGAUUGUUUUGGCUAUUUGGAAGCUCUUUGUCUAUGUGUGAUCUCUUGAAAGUUCAUAUGAAUUUCAGCAUUUUUAAAAAAUAGUUCUUAGUUGUAAAUGGACAAAAUAUCUUUAUUUAUUUUUAUGUGGUACUGAGGAUGGAACCCAGUGCCUCACACGUGCAAAGCAAGCGCUCCACCACUGAGCUACAGCUCCAGCCCAGCAAAUUCUUUUUUCUACAAAAAUAUUAUUGGUUUUUUGAUAGAGAUUGCAUUAAAUCUGUAACUAGCUUUGAGUAGUAUUUACAUCCUAACAAUAGUAAGUGUUCCAGUCCAUGAAAAUGGAAUUUCUUUCCAUUCAAUUUUGUUUUCUUUAGCUUUUUCCUACAAUAUUCUGUAGUUUUCAGUGUACAAGUCUUGCAUCUUCAUGAGUAAAGUUAUUACUGAAUGUUUGAUUCUUUUUGAUGCUAUUAUAAGUAAAAUUGUUUUUUCUUUUUGAUGCUAUUAUAAGUAAAAUUGUUUUCUGAAUUUAAUUUUCAGAGUGUUUUAGUGUAUAGAAGCACAACUAAUUUUUGUAUAUUAAUGUUGUAUCCUGAAAACUUGAUGAACUUAUUAGUUCUAAUAGUUUGUUUUUUGAUUUCUUCCAAUUCACUGCUUAUUCAAUUUUUAACUCAAUAAAUGUUUAUUGCACAUUUACCAUGUAUAAGGUUCUAGUCAGAAAUGCAGUAUAUCAGAGAGACAGUCCAGUGAGAGAUGU
rnacentral:lncRNA from 1 species